UACGUAGGGGGCAAGCGUUGUCCGGAAUCAUUGGGCGUAAAGCGCGCGUAGGCGGCCCGGUAAGUCCGCUCUGAAAGUCCAAGGCUCAACCUUGGAAUGCGGGUGGAUACUGCCGGGCUAGAGUCCGGAAGAGGCGAGUGGAAUUCCUGGUGUAGCGGUGGAAUGCGCAGAUAUCAGGAGGAACACCAAUAGCGAAGGCAGCUCGCUGGGACGUUACUGACGCUGAGACGCGAAAGCGUGGGGAGCAAACAGG
rnacentral:rRNA from 1 species